GAUUUCCCGGGGUGAAAUCCAAUCUACACUUUUAACCCUCUUGUAGUCGGCGGCUCAGGAGUCUUGCUUUUGCUGCUGCUGCUGCUGCUGCUGAAGUUGGUGGUGGUGCCGUAAUAACACGACACUGUCACCACGCUCUCGAAAGUUCAAGCUUACAGCCCGGAGCGGAGCAAGAAGCUCCCGGACAGUGAUGGCAGGAGAAACUUCGCCGGGCCGUCGGGAUCGUGCCGCGAGAGCGCGCCAGGGCGGGAGCGCGCCCCGGGCGGGCAGAGCGGGCGGCGCGGCCUGCGGGCUCCUCCGGCGGCCUCUGCUCGCCCGCCCUCGCUUGCUCUGCGGGCAGUGGUGAGACUGCUUUCCAAACGCCCACCUUAAUAAAAAUGAUCUCCUGAAAAUUCAAACGAUAAA